UACGUAGGGUGCAAGCGUUAAUCGGAAUUACUGGGCGUAAAGCGUGCGCAGGCGGCUUUGCAAGACAGAUGUGAAAUCCCCGGGCUUAACCUGGGAACUGCAUUUGUGACUGCAUGGCUGGAGUGCGGCAGAGGGGGAUGGAAUUCCGCGUGUAGCAGUGAAAUGCGUAGAUAUGUGGAGGAACACCGAUGGCGAAGGCAGCCCCCUGGGCCGACACUGACGCUCAGGCACGAAAGCGUGGGGAGCAAACAGG
rnacentral:rRNA from 1 species